rnacentral:rRNA from 1 species
UACAGAGGUGGCAAGCGUUGUUCGGAUUCAUUGGGCGUAAAGGGCGCGUAGGCGGCGGGGUCAGUCGGGUGUGAAAUCUUGGGGCUUAACCCCGAAACGGCACUCGAAACUGCCCGGCUGGAGGGCCGGAGAGGAGAUCGGAAUUCACGGUGUAGCAGUGAAAUGCGUAGAGAUCGUGAGGAAGACCCGUGGCGAAGGCGGAUCUCUGGACGGCUAACUGACGCUGAGGCGCGAAGGCCAGGGGAGCAAACGGG